UACGUAGGGUGCGAGCGUUGUCCGGAAUUAUUGGGCGUAAAGGGCUCGUAGGCGGUUUGUCGCGUCGGGAGUGAAAUCCACUGGCUUAACUGGUGGCUUGCUUUCGAUACGGGCAGACUGGAGGUAUGCAGGGGAGAACGGAAUUCCUGGUGUAGCGGUGAAAUGCGCAGAUAUCAGGAGGAACACCGGUGGCGAAGGCGGUUCUCUGGGCAUUACCUGACGCUGAGGAGCGAAAGUGUGGGGAUCAAACAGG
rnacentral:rRNA from 1 species